GAUGAAGAACGUAGCGAAAUGCGAUAAGUAAUGUGAAUUGCAGAAUUCAGUGAAUCAUCGAAUCUUUGAACGCACAUUGCGCCCCCUGGUAUUCCGGGGGGCAUGCCUGUCCGAGCGUCAUUACAACCCUCAAGCUCAGCUUGGUGUUGGGCCCCGCCGCCCCGGCGGGCCCUAAAGUCAGUGGCGGUGCCGUCCGGCUCCGAGCGUAGUAAUUCUUCUCGCUCUGGAGGCCCGGUCGUGUGCUCGCCAGCAACCCCCAAUUUUUUUCAGGUUGACCUCGGAUCAGGUAGGGAUACCCGCUGAACUUAAGCAUACAAUAAGCGGAGGA
rnacentral:misc_RNA from 1 species